rnacentral:rRNA from 1 species
CCUACGGGAGGCAGCAGUAGGGAAUCGUUCACAAUGGGCGAAAGCCUGAUGGAGCAACGCCGCGUGCAGGAUGAAGGCCUUCGGGUUGUAAACUGCUUUUAUAAGCGAGAAAGAGGAUGGUAACUGAGGAAUAAGGAACGGCUAACGACGUGCCAGCAGCCGCGGUCAUACGUAGGAGCCGAGCAUUAUCCGGAGUGACUGGGUGUAAAGAGUUGCGUAGGUGGCAUAAUAAGUAGCUAGUGAAAUCUGGUGGCUCAACCAUUCAGACUAUUAGCUAAACUGUUAAGCUCGAGACCGUUAGGUGUAACUGGAAUUUCUAGUGUAGGAGUGAAAUCCGUAGAUAUUAGAAGGAACACCAAUAGCGUAGGCAGGUUGCUUGGCCGGUUCUGCCACUCCGGCACGCACGCGUAGGGAGCAAACGGGAUUAGAUACCCGUGUAGUC